ACCAUAUGUUAAGGGUAUCUCCAAGAAAUUCAGACACACUGGAAACCGUUUCAAUGUUGGGACCACUUUCAAAACUAAACAUACACUCUCUGGGACAAUGAUGAAAACUGGAUCGGUUGGAGAUGCCCAGUAGACGAAGUAGUAUGUGUACAAUAUCCCAUGUGACUGUGGCAGAUGUUAAAUUGGCAAAAGAAGCAGACUUCUAGAAGUUUGCAUUAUGGAACACAAAUAUACCUGAGCCAAGGUCUCUUUCAAAAAUCAAAAUUAACCUAACAUGCAUACAAAGAAGGCCACAAACUAGGUUGGAAAGAAGCAAAGGUCUUGCAGAUUGAACCACAGACCACAUACAGGAAAUGCAACGAAUCCACCCACAUGUCUCUGCUAGAUCAUUCGAUCAAUCAACCCAGCUCGGAUAUCUCUCCCAUCUGGAGUGCCAUUAUCGCAGCAGAAGUCAGUAACUACAACUCCGUCCAGUGUAGAUUAUGUGUGAAAAUUAUGUUUUUAUGUUGCUAUCAUACAGAGAAUUUGCCUCUUUAGUGAUGACUUCUAUUCUGAUAGUACUGUGACUUUAACAACAAUAAUUGUGAAAUAAUGUAUGGACAUAUGUGCUAGGCCUCAUGAGUGAGGAAAUUUUUUAAUGUUUUUAAUGAUUGUCUUAACUCUCACAGAAGGUAUAUCCUGUGCUUGGUUUAUAUACCCUGUCUUCUGUUGGUGCUGGUGUCUGGAGAUAGAACUAGCUCUACUGAUUGAACUCAACUGAGUAGUUUCCACCUAAAGACAGAGAUAGAAUUCAGUCUCUGAAACAGUGUAUGUUUAAAACAAAAACAAGAUGAUGGAUAAUGUCCGAAAACACAAUAAUUGUACUGAAUCUACAGUUUGAGUGACAGUGAAGGAAUUUCAGAAAUGCAGUUCACAAGCUACACUGAAGAAGAAGAAGAGAUGUGUUAAUAAGAAGAAAAUUGGUGAUUACUUCACAACAGGCAAUAUCAGGCAAAUAUUCUAUAGGAGACAUUCAAAAGAUUCAUGCUAUUAAAUUAGAAAUGUAAUUUAUAGAAUAAGUCUUCCUGAAUUAUAAUAUAAUAUUGCUGCUGAUUCUGCUUUUGGAUCUUUGCACCAUGCCUACAUUUUGGAGGUGCAUAUUGCCUGCAUGUGCAAUCUUGCUGGUAACAAUGCCCACUUCCAUAAGGUUCAAAAACCCAAGAGCAGAAUAAGCAGCAACAGUGAAUUGCUGUGAAACUUUAAAACCAGUAACAUAAUAUAACACAUAAUAUACAUUUUUGUAGGUUAAACAAUGACUGUGAAGAACAUUCUGGCAGACAUUAGAGCUGAGAAGCAGGAAACUGUAGAAUAUAGAAAAACUGUGAAUCCCCUUGUUAUUAAUUAGCCUUGAAGAGACCUCUGAGGGACAAAGUGAUUCAGAUGACUGACCAGUCCCACUAGAACAAACAUUUGGAAGAAACACUUGUGGAUAUAAGGACAUGACUGCUUCCAUCUACAUCAUCAUCAAGAAAGCACAGGAGAUUGCAGAGGUUAAUCUAAACAGAAUCUAGUUACUCUAGACAAAAGCUGGUGAAAGGAGGAGGAAGUGUCUUAUCAAAAAUAAUUCAAAAUUAUUCAUUAGACAGAUAUAAAACAUAACAGUAAUGGAUGGAAUAUAAAACACUGUUCAACUGAAAUCUACAUUCUCUAAUGUACAUGUCCUCUCUGUACACAGAGCCACCACAUAUGAUUUUGAAUUUUUCCUAAACAACUACUUUUAUAAACCUAAAGCAGACUUUGUCAUCUGUCAUGACAUUAUCUCAGUGAAAGUUACCAUAAACUGUCUCAACUAACUAUGAAGAUCUUUUAAUCUUACAUCAAUAGUUGAUUUCCCUACAGUCAUUCAAAAUUACUGCAUUAUAUACAUCCAGUGACAGAUUACCUGAUAAUGGUGGUAAACUUUCUAGUUAUAAAAUAUAUAUAUAUAUCUUACUUUGAAGUGAAGAUUUAUCAUAAUUGUGAGACACAAACUACACCUAUGAACAGCAGCACUGCUAAAGAAUUUAAAACACAUCUAAGUAAUGUAACCUGGGAACAAAUAUUAAUUAUUAAGUAUCCGUUAUGUAGGUUCAAAUUUCCUCAUCAAAAUGGAGAAUAUGGUAUUUUAAAAUAAUGAAUGGAUAGCUGCAAGACUCAGAACAUUGUGUAAACAUAAAUUACACAUGCAGCUGGCAGCCACUCUACUAACAACAAAACAAUGACAAUUCCCUGUUGGACUUACUGAAAAGAUUAACUGAAGUCAUUAAAGAGGUGAAAAGUAUGCACUACAAUAAACAGAUAUUAUAAACAUAAAACAAAUAAAAGCACUCUAUAAAACUGUGAAAAAAUAAAGAGGUAAGUACUAUUCAGAAGAAGGCAUGCUCAGUGAACAUAAAUGAUAGCUAAGCUAUCCCUGUAACAGGCUGUGAAGGCCUGUAGGGUUGUGAGAUGUUGAGGUUGCCACAUU